GUCUUAGUUGCAGCAUGUGGGAUCUAGUUCCCUGACCAUGGGUCAAGCCCGGGCCCCCUGCAUUGGGAGCAUGAAAUCUUAGCCACUGGACCACCGGGGAUGUCCCCCAAAUCACCAAUCCUAUCACUAUGUCUGUCCACACUUGUUCCCACGUGUCAUGAAUGAGGCGGGAGGCUUGUGGUCUUCCCAGUUACCCAUGACUGAACGUGAAAGUCGCUCAGUUGUGUCUGACUCUUUGUGACCCCAUGGACUAUACAAUCCAUGGAAUUCUCCAGGCCAGAAUACUGAAGUGGGUAGCCUUUUGUGUCUCCAGGGGAUCUUCCCAACCCAAGGAUCGAACCCAGGUCUCCCGAAUCGCAGGUGGAUUCUUUACCAAUUGAGCUAUCAGGGAAGCCCCACCCAUGACUGGAACAGGUCUUAAAAAUGUGCUUGUCCUAGGGAGGCAUCACUGAGUAGCUGGGGACACUUCAUGAGUUCUCGAUUCUGUUCCAGGAAGAAGCAAAGAGGCCCUCUCCAGCCGAUCCUGUGACUCAGCCUAUUUCAGUAACAAAGACUAUGACCUAAAAUUACAAAAAAUGACUUAGGUGGAAGUGUGCCUUUUAUGGAUGUGGUAGGUUUCCUAAUUGAAAUGUGCUGAAGCAAUUGAAAUGUGGUUCCUUGGCGAAUUUCUGCCAGACACCAUAACCUUUGGACCUGCUAGCGUCUUGCUGUGAGAAGAGACAGUGUAUAUUGAUGGAAGCUUAGAAAAAAGAAUCAUAAGAAAGUUCACACUGGUUAAGUUCUCCUAUGAAGAGAAAGUAAGAGAAAAGAACAGAGGUACCCCACCCUCUGCACAUCUGCCUGUGAUACAGGAGCCCCUGGGGAACCAGACCCAUCAUUUGCGCCCAUAACAGUUUCUCAGAAUUUCGCCUGUGUCACCCCAUUGCUGAUUGUGUGCACUCAGCCAGGGACACGAGAUCUCCUAUAACUGUGGGAUUCUG
ensembl:lncRNA